GACGAACGCUGGCGGCGUGCUUAACACAUGCAAGUCGAACGGAAAGGCCCUGCUUGCAGGGUACUCGAGUGGCGAACGGGUGAGUAACACGUGGGUGAUCUGCCCUGCACUUCGGGAUAAGCCUGGGAAACUGGGUCUAAUACCGGAUAGGAGCCAUUUUUAGUGUGAUGGUUGGAAAGUUUUUUCGGUGUAGGAUGAGCUCGCGGCCUAUCAGCUUGUUGGUGGGGUAAUGGCCUACCAAGGCGGCGACGGGUAGCCGGCCUGAGAGGGUGGACGGCCACAUUGGGACUGAGAUACGGCCCAGACGCCUACGGGAGGCAGCAGUGGGGAAUAUUGCACAAUGGGCGCAAGCCUGAUGCAGCGACGCCGCGUGGGGGAUGACGGCCUUCGGGUUGUAAACUCCUUUCGCUAGGGACGAAGCCUUUUGUGACGGUACCUAGAUAAGAAGCACCGGCUAACUACGUG
rnacentral:rRNA from 1 species